AUUGAACGCUGGCGGCAGGCCUAACACAUGCAAGUCGAGCGGUAGAGAGAAGCUUGCUUCUCUUGAGAGCGGCGGACGGGUGAGUAAUACCUAGGAAUCUGCCUGGUAGUGGGGGAUAACGUUCGGAAACGGACGCUAAUACCGCAUACGUCCUACGGGAGAAAGCAGGGGACCUUCGGGCCUUGCGCUAUCAGAUGAGCCUAGGUCGGAUUAGCUAGUUGGUGAGGUAAUGGCUCACCAAGGCUACGAUCCGUAACUGGUCUGAGAGGAUGAUCAGUCACACUGGAACUGAGACACGGUCCAGACUCCUACGGGAGGCAGCAGUGGGGAAUAUUGGACAAUGGGCGAAAGCCUGAUCCAGCCAUGCCGCGUGUGUGAAGAAGGUCUUCGGAUUGUAAAGCACUUUAAGUUGGGAGGAAGGGCAGUUACCUAAUACGUGAUUG
rnacentral:rRNA from 1 species